UCUACUCAAGUUUUUGCUACUCAAAAUGAGUCCUUGCUUGUAGCCUUUACCAAAGAAAUAGAAUCUGUAGUCCGAUAUAUGAAUUCUAAUAAAGCUUCAAGCUCAGAUGGAUUUCCUCCCCUUUUUCUUAAAGUUUUUUGGCCAAUUGUUAAGAAUGAUGUUGUCCAAGCUGUCAAUCAUAUCUUUACUUCUUGCUCUAUGCCUCAUUCAUGGAAACAAACCUUUAUUACCCUUAUUCCA
rnacentral:lncRNA from 1 species